rnacentral:rRNA from 1 species
AUUGAACGCUGGCGGCAUGCUUUACACAUGCAAGUCGAACGGUAACAGGCCUUCGGGUGCUGACGAGUGGCGAACGGGUGAGUAAUGCAUCGGAACGUGCCCAAUCGUGGGGGAUAACGUAGCGAAAGUUACGCUAAUACCGCAUAAGCCCUGAGGGGGAAAGCAGGGGAUCGCAAGACCUUGCGCGAAUGGAGCGGCCGAUGUCAGAUUAGCUAGUUGGUGGGGUAAAGGCCUACCAAGGCGACGAUCUGUAGCGGGUCUGAGAGGAUGAUCCGCCACACUGGGACUGAGACACGGCCCAGACUCCUACGGGAGGCAGCAGUAGGGAAUAUUGGACAAUGGGCGCAAGCCUGAUCCAGCAAUGCCGCGUGUGUGAAGAAGGCCUUCGGUUGUAAG